rnacentral:rRNA from 1 species
GCUUACGGCCACACCCCCGCCUGGUUACGCCCGAUCUCGUUUGAUCUCGGAAGCUAAGAUAGGUUGGGCCUGGUUGUACUUGGAUGGGAGACCGCCUGGGAAUACCAGGUGCUGUAACUU